UGCCAUGAUGGUGUAAUUUGCGUCUGACUCAGUGAACAGUGACAGUUGCCUGCUGUCUCUAUACUGUCAUUGAGUAUUGAUGUGUGCUAAAUUCUGAGCA
ensembl:snoRNA SNORD16 Small nucleolar RNA SNORD16